rnacentral:rRNA from 1 species
UGGGGAAUUUUGGACAAUGGGGGCAACCCUGAUCCAGCAAUGCCGCGUGAGUGAAGAAGGCCUUCGGGUUGUAAAGCUCUUUUGUCAGGGAAGAAACGGUGAUUUCUAAUACAAGUCACUAAUGACGGUACCUGAAGAAUAAGCACCGGCUAACUACGUGCCAGCAGCCGCGGUAAUACGUAGGGUGCAAGCGUUAAUCGGAAUUACUGGGCGUAAAGCGUGCGCAGGCGGUUAUGUAAGACAGAUGUGAAAUGCCCGGGCUCAACCUGGGAACUGCAUUUGUGACUGCAUGGCUAGAGUUUGGCAGAGGGGGGUAGAAUUCCACGUGUAGCAGUGAAAUGCGUAGAUAUGUGGAGGAAUACCGAUGGCGAAGGCAGCCCCCUGGGUCAAGACUGACGCUCAUGCACGAAAGCGUGGGGAGCAAACA